rnacentral:rRNA from 1 species
CGAACGCUGGCGGCGUGCUUAACACAUGCAAGUCGAACGGAAAGGCCCUGCUUUUGUGGGGUGCUCGAGUGGCGAACGGGUGAGUAACACGUGAGUAACCUGCCCUUGACUUUGGGAUAACUUCAGGAAACUGGGGCUAAUACCGGAUAGGAGCUCCUGCUGCAUGGUGGGGGUUGGAAAGUUUCGGCGGUUGGGGAUGGACUCGCGGCUUAUCAGCUUGUUGGUGGGGUAGUGGCUUACCAAGGCUUUGACGGGUAGCCGGCCUGAGAGGGUGUCCAGCCACAUUGGGACUGAGAUACGGCCCAGACUCCUACGGGAGGCAGCAGUGGGGAAUAUUGCACAAUGGGCGGAAGCCUGAUGCAGCAACGCCGCGUGCGGGAUGACGGCCUUCGGGUUGUAAACCGCUUUCGCCUGUGACGAAGCGUGAGUGACGGUAAUGGGUAAAGAAGCACCGGCUAACUACGUGCCAGCAGCCGCGGUGAUACGUAGGGUGCGAGCGUUGUCCGGAUUUAUUGGGCGUAAAGGGCUCGUAGGUGGUUGAUCGCGUCGGAAGUGUAAUCUUGGGGCUUAACCCUGAGCGUGCUUUCGAUACGGGUUGACUUGAGGAAGGUAGGGGAGAAUGGAAUUCCUGGUGGAGCGGUGGAAUGCGCAGAUAUCAUGAGGAACACCAGUGGCGAAGGCGGUUCUCUGGGCCUUUCCUGACGCUGAGGAGCGAAAGCGUGGGGAGCGAACAGGCUUAGAUACCCUGGUAGUCCACGCUGUAAACGGUGGGUACUAGGUGUGGGGUCCAUUCCACGGGUUCCGUGCCGUAGCUAACGCUUUAAGUACCCCGCCUGGGGAGUAGGGCCGCAAGGCUAAAACUCAAAGGAAUUGACGGGGCCCCGCACAAGCGGCGGAGCAUGCGGAUUAAUUCGAUGCAACGCGUAGAACCUUACCUGGGUUUGACAUGGAUCGGGAGUGCUCAGAGAUGGGUGUGCCUCUUUUGGGGUCGGUUCACAGGUGGUGCAUGCCUGUCGUCAGCUCGUGUCGUGAGAUGUUGGGUUAAGUCCCGCAACGAGCGCAACCCUUGUUCACUGUUGCCAGCACGUUAUGGUGGGGACUCAGUGGAGACCGCCGGGGUCAACUCGGAGGAAGGUGGGGAUGACGUCAAGUCCUCAUGCCCCUUAUGUCCAGGGCUUCACGCAUGCUACAAUGGCUGGUACAGAGAGUGGCGAGCCUGUGAGGGUGAGCGAAUCUCGGAAAGCCGGUCUCAGUUCGGAUUGGGGUCUGCAACUCGACCUCAUGAAGUCGGAGUCGCUAGUAAUCGCAGAUCAGCAACGCUGCGGUGAAUACGUUCCCGGGGCUUGUACACACCGCCCGUCAAGUCAUGAAAGUUGGUAACACCCGAAGCCGGUGGCCUAACCGUUGUGGGGGAGCCGUCGAAGGUGGGACUGGUGAUUAGG